rnacentral:ribozyme from 2 species
ACUGUUAAUGCGGCCUUAUUUUACUACGCAAUAGCGUUGUGAAAGUAUGACGGUCUCAAGCCCGAUAACGCAGAGAGCAGU